rnacentral:rRNA from 1 species
UCAAGCUACAAAGGGCGCAUGGUGAAUGCCUUGGCAUCAGGAGCCGAUGAAGGACGUGAUAAGCUGCGAUAAGCUUCGGGUAGGCGCACAUAGCCAGUGAUCCGGAGAUUUCCGAAUGUGGGAACACACAUGGGAAACCCCAUGUAUCGUAUAGUGAAUACAUAGCUAUACGAGGGUAAACCUAGGGAACUGAAACAUCUAAGUACCUAGAGGAAGAGAAAGAAAAAUCGAUUUCCUAAGUAGCGGCGAGCGAAAGGGAAAGAGCCCAAACCAAAGAUUUAUCUUUGGGGUUGCGGACAGAACAUUAACGAGAAGUCAUGAUUAACCGAACACAACUGGAAAGUUGGACCGUAGGAGGUAAUAGUCCUGUAGGUGAAAGUCAAGAUAAUCAAGUUCUGAUCCAGAGUACCACGAGACACGUGAAACCUUGUGGGAAGCAGGGAGGACCACCUCCCAAGGCUAAAUACUACCUGAUGACCGAUAGUGAAGCAGUACCGUGAGGGAAAGGUGAAAAGAACCCCGGGAGGGGAGUGAAAUAGAACCUGAAACCGUGUGCCUACAACCGGUCAAAGCCCCUUAUGAGGGUGAUGACGUGCUUUUUGUAGAACGAGCCAACGAGUUACGGUAUGUAGCAAGGUUAAGUACUUAAGGUACGGAGCCGAAGGGAAACCGAGUCUUAAUAGGGCGACUAGUUGCAUGCCGUAGACCCGAAACCGGGUGACCUAUCCAUGGCCAGGUUGAAGCGAGGGUAAAACUUCGUGGAGGACCGAACCACGUUGCUGUUGAAAAAGCAUGGGAUGAGCUGUGGAUAGCGGAGAAAUUCCAAUCGAACUCGGAGAUAGCUGGUUCUCCCCGAAAUAGCUUUAGGGCUAGCGUUAGUUUAGAUUACCGGAGGUAAAGCACUGAAUGGUUUAGGGGCUGAUAAAGUUACCGACGCCUAUCAAACUCUGAAUGCCGGAUAAUUGAUGACUAGCAGUCAGACAGUGUGAGAUAAGUUUCAUUGUCAAAAGGGAAACAGCCCAGACCUACAGCUAAGGUCCCAAAUGUAUGCUAAGUGGAAAACGAUGUGGAAUUGCGAAAACAACCAGGAUGUUGGCUUAGAAGCAGCCACACAUUAAAAGAGUGCGUAAUAGCUCACUGGUCGAGUGAUCCUGCGCCGAAAAUUCAACGGGGCUAAAAUUUGUACCGAAGCUUGGGCUUGAUACAUUUGUAUCAGGGGUAGGGGAGCGUCAUGUAUGAGGUGAAGUCGUAGCGUAAGCGGCGGUGGAUUGUACAUGAGAGAGAAUGCCGGAAUGAGUAGCGAGAAUUAUGUGAGAAUCAUAAUGGCCGAAAAUCUAAGGUUUCCUGAGGAAGGUUCGUCCGCUCAGGGUAAGCCGGGAGCUAAGGUGAGGCGGAAACGCGUAGCCGAUGCACAUACGGUAGAGAUUCCGUAGCCUCCGAAAAGUAAAGCACAGGGACGCUUCAGAAGUGUUACGCCGGGCGAUGGUUGCCCCGGUUGUAAAGGACACGAUUGAGUGGAAGGUAACAUGGAUGGAGACAAGAAAAGCUGUGUGUAUCUGGAAGGAGCCCGUACCGCAAACCGACACAGGUAGAUAGGAAGAAGAUUCUAAGGCCAGCGGGAGAAGGGUUGUUAAGGAACUCGGCAAGUUGACCCCGUAACUUCGGGAGAAGGGGUGCUUACGAAGGUAAGCCGCAGAGAAUAGGCCCAAGCGACUGUUUAGCAAAAACACAGCUCUAUGCUAAAUCGAAAGAUGACGUAUAUGGGGUGACACCUGCCCGGUGCUGGAAGGUUAAGAGGAGAUGUGAGAGCAUUGAAUUGAAGCCCCAGUAAACGGCGGCCGUAACUAUAACGGUCCUAAGGUAGCGAAAUUCCUUGUCAGGUAAGUUCUGACCCGCACGAAUGGCGUAAUGACUUGGGCACUGUCUCAACUGCAAAUCCGGCGAAGUUGUAGUGCGAGUGAAGAUGCUCGCUACCCGCGAUUGGACGGAAAGACCCCGUAGAGCUUUACUGUAGCUUAGCAUUGAAUUCCGGUAUUGUCUGUACAGGAUAGGUGGGAGACUGGGAAACUAGGGCGUCAGCCUUAGUGGAGUCAACCUUGGGAUACCACCCUGACAGUACUGGGGUUCUAACAGGACGCCAUGAAGCUGGUGACUGGACAUUGUUAGGUGGGCAGUUUGACUGGGGCGGUCGCCUCCUAAAAAGUAACGGAGGCGCCCAAAGGUUCCCUCAGAACGGUCGGAAAUCGUUCGUAGAGUGCAAAGGCAGAAGGGAGCCUGACUGCGAGACCUACAAGUCGAGCAGGGACGAAAGUCGGGCUUAGUGAUCCGGUGGUACCUCGUGGGAGGGCCAUCGCUCAACGGAUAAAAGCUACCUCGGGGAUAACAGGCUGAUCUCCCCCAAGAGUCCACAUCGACGGGGAGGUUUGGCACCUCGAUGUCGGCUCAUCGCAUCCUGGAGCUGUAGUCGGUCCCAAGGGUUGGGCUGUUCGCCCAUUAAAGCGGUACGCGAGCUGGGUUCAGAACGUCGUGAGACAGUUCGGUCCCUAUCCGGCGUGGGCGUAGGAUAUCUGAGAGGAGCUGUCCUUAGUACGAGAGGACCGGGAUGGACUGACCUCUGGUGCACCAGUUGUUCUGCCAAGAGCAUGGCUGGGUAGCUAAGUCGGGAAGGGAUAAACGCUGAAAGCAUCUAAGCGUGAAGCCUCCCUCAAGAUGAGAUUUCCCAUAGCAUAAGCUAGUAAGACCCCUUGAAGAACACAAGGUUGAUAGGUCAGAGGUGGAAGUGCGGUAACGUAUGUAGCUGACUGAUACUAAUAGGUCGAGGGCUUGACCAA